rnacentral:rRNA from 1 species
AUGAAGGCGUCGCUGAAGCUCCGGGACGACGCGGGGCCGCUGCUCCGCGCGAAGCUCCCCGUCGAGCUCUUCUCCGUGCCCGCCGUCGCCUCGCUCACCGCCGGCGAUCCGGCCGACCUCCGCCUCUCCCUCGCCACGGCCGUCCCGGCGCUCCCGUCCCUACGCCUCUCCUACGCGCCCAACCGCCCCGCGGGCUCCUCCCCGCUCUCCGCCUCGCUCGUCCUCGGCUACGGCCCCGGCGGCUGCCCCUCCGCGCCCGGCGCCUCCGCCAUCACCAUGGUCGUCGAGGUCAGCGCCGCGGGCGCGCUCUCCUUCUCGCUGGCCCUCAAGCCCUCGCUCGGCGACUUCGCCGUGCGCAAGCGGUUCUAUUCGGACGGCGCGGGAGGCGGGAUGUCGGCGUCGGAGGUGGCGAUGAGGAGCGUCGUGCCUGUGCGCGGCGGCGCGGCGGCGGCGAGGGUCCGGUGGGGCGUGAGGAUACCCGCCGAGAUGACCGCCGGCGUGGAGGCCGGUGCCGCCGGGGUGAUGCUGCGGAGGCUGCCUUUCUUGGUUCUCGGCAAGGUCACGGUGGAGAGGCGGGCGGGGAAGCCGGCGCCGGAGGUUGCGCAGCAAGAGGAGGCGGCGGUGGAGAAGGUGAGGAGAGAGAACGAGAAGCUGAGGCGGGAGAUGGAGGAGCUCCGGGCGACAGCGGGGCAGAGGAGAGAGAAGGAGACGGUGGCGUUGGCCGGUGCCGGCCGGAGCGGUGGCGGAAGGUCGCCGGGGAUGAGUACGAAACGGGACGGCGUUGAUGUAGGGCCGCAAGUGAAUCCUGCGAGCUAG